AUUGAACGCUGGCGGCAUGCCUUACACAUGCAAGUCGAACGGUAACAGGUCUUCGGAUGCUGACGAGUGGCGAACGGGUGAGUAAUACAUCGGAACGUGCCUAGUAGCGGGGGAUAACUACUCGAAAGAGUGGCUAAUACCGCAUGAGAUCUACGGAUGAAAGCAGGGGAUCGCAAGACCUUGUGCUACUAGAGCGGCCGAUGGCAGAUUAGGUAGUUGGUGGGAUAAAAGCUUACCAAGCCGACGAUCUGUAGCUGGUCUGAGAGGACGAUCAGCCACACUGGGACUGAGAAACGGACCAGACACCUACGGGAGGCAGCAGUGGGGAAUUUUGGACAAUGGGCGCAAGCCUGAUCCAGCAAUGCCGCGUGCAGGAUGAAGGCCUUCGGGUUGUAAACUGCUUUUGUACGGAACGAAAAGCCCCGGGUUAAUACCCUGGGGUCAUGACGGUACCGUAAGAAUAAGCACCGGCUAACUACGUGCCAGCCGCCGCCGUAA
rnacentral:rRNA from 1 species